CCACGCCGAGCACAGCAGGCUAAGGCGCGACGCCACGCCGACGGACGGCGUGGCGCGCGAGGCCGUCCGGGCGGGGCGCGGGAGCGAGCGAGAGCUUCAGAGAAAAAUACACAGACUCUUUUGGAGGUGGAAGUGAUAUAUCUCCAUUCUCCAGAAAGGACAUGAUUGAUGACACGAGUGGCCGCACAUUUGGGCUGUCCUGAACACACAAAAGUCCAAUAUGGAUGCACCGUAUAGUUUCAUCAGAAGCCGAGAAGUCUAACCAAGUUUUUAUGCUGCAACUUCGCAAUGAGUAUUACUUCAUUUCUGAACUCCGGUCAAACAAGAUGGAAAUACAGUUAUGUUCGUCGAUAAGAUAAAAAUUCACGUUACCUUGUAAACACUGCCAAAACCUCCAUGUCCAAGCUUGUUGGAGUUAGAGAAAUUGUUUGUUGCAAGUACAAUUUCUUUGAAGCUAA